ACGCUUUCUCGAUCGCUUUCCGGAUCGAAGUGAGAUCCGUUCUUCAAGAAGUGGAGAUUGGAUUGCAGAAUCCUUGGAGAAAAGGACGCGUGUUAGUUGCGUAAGCAGCUAUCGAUUUCACUCGCGAUGCAAAGCAUCGCGAUACACAAGUGCAAUCGUUGAGGGCAAUGGCUUUUCUGCGCGGAAAAUCGAGAACGGUGAAAUUAUGAUCACUUGAAUUCUACGAAUUCCGAUGGAAAGAUCAAGGAACCUCAACAGCCUCGCCCACGAAAUCGAGUUUACAACAACAUCGAGUUGGCAUUCGUGACGAAUGCUUGAGUGAGAAUUCACCGUUUAUCGAUGCAGAGAAGAUCGAGUGGAUGCCAAAGAAAUAUCAAUGCCUGUCAAACCAUUGAAUUCGGAAUGAUAGUGGGGCGAAGAAAAUUGUAGCGCGAUAAAGCGAUCUCCUUGUUUCGCGAAUUGGAUUUCUCAAUGGAGAACGUGACGCGUUAAGAGAGACAAUUGGCACGAGGAAUAAUAGAUAUUGCGAUAUUUUUAAAAAGAGAAAUUCAAGGGAUAUAAAUUCUUGUAUGAAUUUUUAAACGUCUUGCAUUGUUUAGACUAGUGUUUCCCAAUCAUUUUUGCUUUAUAUUCCAAUUCUCGAAGAUUUUUGUUAUAUAAAAAACUUUGUUCUAAUCAAAUUAAUUAAUCAAAUUCUUAAAGAUAAUUUAAAUGUUUUAUUCUUCAAAUAUUUUUAUUUAGCAUUUAUGAUUUAUUAUGAUUUAAUAAAAUCAGUAAACAGAAA